UACGAAGGGGGCUAGCGUUGCUCGGAAUCACUGGGCGUAAAGCGCACGUAGGCGGAUUGCUAAGUCAGGGGUGAAAUCCCGUGGAGCUCAACUCCAGAACUGCCUUUGAUACUGGCGACCUUGAGUCCGGGAGAGGGUGAGUGGAACUGCGAGUGUAGAGGUGAAAUUCGUAGAUAUUCGCAAGAACACCAGUGGCGAAGGCGGCUCACUGGCCCGGUACUGACGCUGAGGUGCGAAAGCGUGGGGAGCAACAGGG
rnacentral:rRNA from 1 species